rnacentral:misc_RNA from 1 species
GAUGAAGAACGCAGCGAAAUGCGAUAAGUAAUGUGAAUUGCAGAAUCCAGUGAAUCAUCGAAUCUUUGAACGCACAUUGCGCCCGCCAGCAUUCUGGCGGGCAUGCCUGUUCGAGCGUCAUUUCAACCCUCGACCUCCCUUUGGGGAAGUCGGCGUUGGGGACCGGCAGCACACCGCCGGCCCUGAAAUGGAGUGGCGGCCCGUCCGCGGCGACCUCUGCGUAGUAAACCAACUCGCACCGGAACCCCGACGUGGCCACGCCGUAAAACACCCAACUUCUGAACGUUGACCUCCAAUCAGGUAGGACUACCCGCUGAACUUAAGCAUAUCAAUAAGCGGAGGA